AAUCCAUGGUGAGGGCAGCUCCUCAAUAGAUCCUUGUAUCUCUCUCAUGCAUCGUAGAGUGUUUCAAGAUCCAUCUGCCCAAAGGAAGAAAUGUCAUUUCUCAACUU
rfam:Gossypium hirsutum cultivar TM-1 chromosome 23, whole genome shotgun sequence